UCAACUGUGUCAGAAGAAACUAUAAAGAAAGUUUUGUAAAGAAGAAAAAUCAGAUUUGGAAAGGAAAAUAUUGCUAAUCUGCAUAGCAAGAAGGUGGAAAAAAGAAAGGCAAAAAUGGGUUCAUAAUUUUUUAGAGGUGCUCAAUUUAGAAGAUGAGGUAGGGGUUCAAAUACAAGACCCUGAAUUUUCUUUCUGGUAGCGAUAUGCCAGCCAUGCCAAUCAUCUUUCUAAAACAGAACAGUGUGGUAGUUUAUAACUUGUGGGGGGAAAGAAUAGAUAACCUCCCUUAGCCUUUUAGAAAAGCCAAGACAAGCUCCAGGAAAAGGAGUUAAAAGAAGCUACUUCCCCCGUCACCUUGGGUCACUGGAAAUACACAUGCAUGCCUAGGACAUGCGUAGAUGCUUUGGGGAGGCUGGAAACAUUAACCUUGAGUGCUGCUAAGGGGAGAACACUUCAAAGGCUAGGGCAGUGAGAGAACCAGAAGCCAAUCAGAGUGAAGAGGAUGUUUGAACAGAGAGAGAGGAAGCAUAUAAAGACUAAGGGUUUGGGGCUCCUCUCUCUCCACUGUCUCUGUUCUAUCCGACACCUAAAUCUGGGCAGCUCUUUCCAACUUCAGGAGGACAAGAGGAGAGUAGUGCGCAGCAUUCGGCAGCUUCUUUGGUGACCAGCUACAUCGUUUGGCAGCAGGCUCAAGUGCUCAAAACAGCACAGAGCAAGGAGCAUGCUGAACAGUGAUGUUCCAGUUUAAAAAGACAGAGCUGCAAACAAAGGUAGGCUUUUAUUUUGGAUAAUAUCCUUUCAACUGCACAAAAUCUCGUGUCCGACCACAUGCCAUUCACUGCUGCCAUGCUCACACAGUGCUGGGCGUGUGUCCUCACUCUUUUAUUCUUGAAUCCUGGGGGUUAGGGGGAUUUGAUGGCAGCAUUUUGUCCUAAGUUUCCUAUUUCUUUAAUUCACUCCUUGUUCCAUUUGCCUUUUUGCUUCGCUUUACCGCUUUUAGCAUCUAUCCCCUCCUUCUAUGUUUUAUUAAGAUGAUUAUUUUGGGCAGAUGGUUUGGCUCCCUGAACAUCGUAUUCAGUGUUUUCUUUUCAUGAGAGAAAACUUGUAAGAUUUCAGCCUUCACAUGGAGUACCGAAUACACCUCUCUCUGCCUUCCCACUGGCUCAGGGAAAGUAGCUGCCUACAAAGUAUGGUGAUGCUUCUUCUUCAGGCACUUGUCAUGAUUAAUUGCUCUACAUCUCUGAUUAAUUGAUUGAUUGAUUGAUUGAAACCUGUCUUCCUCACUGAACAUAGGCCACUAUAAGGACAAUGGCUACCUGUUUUGACCACUGUUGGGUCUCUAAUGCCUUUCAUAGUAGUUGACAUACAGCAGAUUUGCAGA
rnacentral:lncRNA from 1 species